CCCAAAAUUGGUAUAGCCCGAAUGGGGUAACGAAUGCCGACUUAGGGAUGGCGGCCGGAUCUAGCAGGAUCUGCCAGUAUCCCUUGCACAAGUCUAGGGUAGUUAGGAAGUGCCCGCUGGCCAUGCGAUCGAGCAGUUCGUCGAUCCGUGGCAUGGGAUAGGCGUCUGUGAUAGUCCGAUCGUUCAGUUUCCGGUAAUCAAUACAGAAGCGAGU